rnacentral:rRNA from 1 species
UGCCAGACUCCUACGGGAGGCAGCAGUGGGGGAUAUUGCACAAUGGGGGAAACCCUGAUGCAGCGAUGCCGCGUGAGUGAAGACGGCCUUCGGGUUGUAAAGCUCUGUCGCAGAGGACGAAAAUGACGGUACUCUGUAAGAAAGCUCCGGCUAACUACGUGCCAGCAGCCGCGGUAAUACGUAGGGAGCAAGCGUUGUCCGGAAUUACUGGGUGUAAAGGGAGCGUAGACGGCGAAGAAAGUCUGAAGUGAAAGCCCGCGGCUCAACCGCGGAACUGCUUUGGAAACUUUUUUGCUGGAGUACCGGAGAGGUAAGCGGAAUUCCUAGUGUAGCGGUGAAAUGCGUAGAUAUUAGGAGGAACACCAGUGGCGAAGGCGGCUUACUGGACGGUAACUGACGUUGAGGCUCGAAAGCGUGGGGAGCAAACAGGAUUAGAUACCCCCGUAGAU